rnacentral:misc_RNA from 1 species
AACUUUCAACAACGGAUCUCUUGGCUCUCGCAUCGAUGAAGAACGCAGCGAAAUGCGAUAAGUAAUGGGAAUUGCAGAUUUUCAGUGAAUCAUCGAAUCUUUGAACGCACCUGGCGCUCCUUGGUAUUCCGAGGAGCAUGCCUGUUUGAGUGUCAUUAAAUUCUCAACUCCGAUUCGAUUUGUUUCGACCUCGGAGCUUGGACUUUGGAGCGUGCUGGCGUCGGUCGGAUCCUCUCAAAUGCAUCAGCGGAAUCUAACGUUUCGGACGUCAGUGUGAUAAUCACGCUGCGCUGUCGACCGAUCCUGAAAGCCCGCUCAUAAUGGUCUUCGGACAACUUCAUAUCAAAUUUGACCUCAAAUCAGGUAGGACUACCCGCUGAACUUAAGCAUAUCAAUAAGCGGAGGCU